UACGUAGGGGGCAAGCGUUGUCCGGAAUCAUUGGGCGUAAAGAGCGUGUAGGCGGCUUGGUAAGUCCGCUGUGAAAGUCCAGGGCUCAACCCUGGGAUGCCGGUGGAUACUGUCGGACUAGAGUACGGAAGAGGCGAGUGGAAUUCCCGGUGUAGCGGUGAAAUGCGCAGAUAUCGGGAGGAACACCUAUUGCGAAGGCAGCUCGCUGGGACGUCACUGACGCUGAGACGCGAAAGCGUGGGUAGCAAACAGG
rnacentral:rRNA from 1 species